rnacentral:rRNA from 1 species
CCUACGGGAGGUAGCAGUGAGGAAUAUUGGUCAAUGGCCGGAAUCCUGAACCAGCCAUGCCGCGUGCAGGACGACGGCUCUACGGGUUGUAAACUUCUUUUGUACGGGAGCAAAAUGCCUUACGUGUAGGGUUUUGAGAGUACUUUACGAAAAAGCAUCGGCUAACUCCGUGCCAGCAGCCGCGGUAAUACGGAGGAUCCGAGCGUUAUCCGGAUUUAUUGGGUUUAAAGGGUGCGUAGGCUGGUUGUUAAGUUAACGGUGAAAUUCCGAUGGUCAACAUCGGGGCGGACGCUAAUACUGUAGGACUAGAGAUAGGAAGAAGCAUGCGGAAUGUGUAGUGUAGCGGUGAAAUGCAUAGAUAUUACACAGAACACCGAUUGCGAAGGCAGCUUGCCAGGGCGGAUCUGACACUGAUGCACGAAAGCGUGGGGAUCGAACAGGAUUAGAUACCCGAGUAGUC